AGAGAGAGACAUGCGCGCAUAUCAAUAAGCGGAGGAAAAGAAACUAACAAGGAUUCCCUUAGUAACGGCGAGUGAAGCGGGAAGAGCUCAAAUUUGAAAUCUUCAAGGUUCUACCUUGACGAAUUGUAGUUUAUAGAAGUGUUUUUCUGUUAGUAGAGUGGCAAAAGUUCUUUGGAAUAGGACAUCAUAGAGGGUGAGAAUCCCGUAUUUGGUCAUUAUUUCCUAAGCUUUGUGAUACACUUUCAACGAGUCGGAUUGUUUGGGAACUGCAGUCCAAAAUGGGUGGUAAAUUUCAUCUAAAGCUAAAUAUUGGCGAGAGACCGAUAGCGAACAAGUACCGUGAGGGAAAGAUGAAAAGGAACUUUGAAAAGAGAGUUAAACAGUACGUGAAAUUGUCAAAAGGGAAGCGUUUGACACCAGUGUUGUUUUUUCCGAAAAUCAAUUACGAAUGUUUUAUUUUUGAGGAGUUAUGACUUCAUCGGCUUGCUCCUUUCUUUACGAAACUUUCUUAAUGCACUUUUCGGUUAACAAGUCAACAUCAAUUUCUUUUGUUGUAAAAGGGUAUGAGGAAGGUGGCUUUCUUUUCGGAGAAAGUGUUUAUAGCCAUCGUGCCUCUGCAAUCGGAGAGAUUGAGAUCUGCAGCGUAGAUCCUUCGGGGUUAGAUACAGUUUGUGCUAAGUUAUAGCUUUUCAUAGACAACUUGUUGACUAUGUUUAGUCUUGUAGCUUACUCGCUGACGCUAUUUUACCUACGCUUAGGAUGUUGAUAGUCACAGCGUGUAC
rnacentral:rRNA from 1 species